rnacentral:misc_RNA from 1 species
UGCCAACCAGCCAACUUGUUAGAUGCAUUACAAGCAGGACCCUGAAUGGGCAUUGACGGUCUCUUCUCAACCUCCUCAACUGUAGCCAAUGAUGACUCAUCGGCACCACCUGAAUGAGCAAGAAUCCCAAUGGAAACAGCACCAAACCACUUCACAUUUUGGAUCUCAUCAAAUAGGUCCAUACUAUGCAUAUUACUAUCAUCAGCAAACAUCACUAUCCCAUUUAGCUUCUGCUCUCUCACAACUCUCAAAGCACGAAGCCGCAUUUUAACCUCCAAUUUAUGCCGUGCCUCCCACGAAUUCGGCAUUCUCUGCUUGAAUCCGAUAUGAAUAGUCCUAACUCCAGAUUUCGCGAUAAUAGCAGCGGUUUCAUCAGUGACUCCACCGGCCUCUACCACGAUCCAAACAACGCCAUAUGGGACCAGCAUCAGCGAGUGCAUAACACCGGUCAA